CCUACGGGAGGCAGCAGUCGAGAAUUAUUCACAAUGGGGGAAACCCUGAUGGUGCGACGCCGCGUGGGGGAAUGAAGGUCUUCGGAUUUUAAACCCCUUUCAUGUGGGAGCAAAUUAAAAAGAUAGUACCACAAGAGCAAGAAACGGCUAACUCUGUCCCAGCAGCCGCGGUAAUACAGAGGUCUCAAGCGUUGUUCGGAAUCACUGGGCGUAAAGCGUGCGUAGGCUGUUUCGUAAGUCGUGUGUGAAAGGCGCGGGCUCAACCCGCGGACGGCACAUGAUACUGCGAGACUAGAGUAAUGGAGGGGGAACCGGAAUUCUCGGUGUAGCAGUGAAAUGCGUAGAUAGCGGGAGGAACACUCGAGGCGAAGGCGGGUUCCUGGACAUUAACUGACGCUGAGGCACGAAGGCCAGGGGAGCGAAAGGGAUUAGAUACCCCAGUAGUC
rnacentral:rRNA from 1 species